AACGUAGGAGACAAACGUUAUCCGGAGUUACUGGGCGUAAAGGGCGUGUAGGUGGUAGUGUAAGUCUGGCGUGAAAUUUUUCGGCUUAACCGGGGAAGGUCGUCGGAUACUGCACAACUAGAGGACGGUAGAGGCGUGUGGAAUUCCGGGUGUAGUGGUGAAAUGCGUAGAGAUCCGGAGGAACACCAGUGGCGAAGGCGACACGCUGGGCCGUACCUGACACUGAUGCGCGACAGCAUGGGGAGCAAACAGG
rnacentral:rRNA from 1 species